rnacentral:lncRNA from 1 species
UGAAUGAUCUGUAUGACUUGCAAGCCAACAGUUUGGUUGCAAGUUUGAAUAGGGUAGUAAGUGGGACUGGCACAAAUGUCUGUUAAAAUGUUAAUAGAAAAUGCUAGCACAAAGAAGAGAUUAUUGCCACUCUUGAAUGCUGUUCUUAAGCUUUGAAAUGAGCUCUAACAAACCUCUGCAAGAACGUGAAGGUGCAAAGAGGGCUACCAAGGAGUCCGCUGUGACCAAUUUUUGCCGAAAACCGACUCAAUCUUGUCAGAUCCAAGAGAAGAGCCUCCAAAUGCCAGAGCUGUGCCGUGUUUAUGCAGCUGCAGUGAAUCACUGUUCCUUUAGCCUUUGCUGCUUUGAGGUGUCACGUAGGUGUCAAGUCUCAUCCAGAAAAAGAUGCAAGGAUUCGGUAAGCAUAAGAAUGAGCAGAGACAGCAUCCUGCCACUAGUUGCUGGAUAAAGAGGAGAAGGGAGCUGUAUCAUAUUGACAUGUGAAGAUAUGCAAAGCCAUUAUUCCUGCUCCGGCCGAUUAUUUUAAUAAAGUUACUUCCAUAAUAACUGAAAAUUGUCUC